AUGAAUUUCCGGUGCCUCCCGGGAGGUGAGAAUACAAGUAUCGUAUAUUGGCGAAAAGCUGAGAAAAUUCUCUAUAAAACAAUUGUGGUCACUAAUUUCCGCGAUUUUUUACGAUGCCGUACCGACCGAUCGAAUGACCGGCCGUGGGUUUUCUACCACGGCGUCCGCCGAUUUUUGGGUGAUAUUUCAGUAUGAUGUUCAGUAUUAUAAUAUUAAUAUUUAAUAUCUUAUAAUAUUGUUUUGUAUAAUACAGCGCCAUCUAUGUGGUUGUACUAUUGAUGUGAGUUUUGAAUUAUGUUUGUGGCAAGGUUUAGUAUUAUAUAGGCAACCCUUUAUACACGUUCUUAUCAAUAGCUGGGUCAAUUGCUAACUUCACACUCGUCAUUACCGAUUAGUGGUUAGUUAAAAGUUUUAAACUUUUUCCAUAAGUUUAUAGACGUUUUGUAAUGUCUAACUCGCGUCUCAUAGUUCUUACUACACGACACACGUAAUUAACGCAAUGUACUAUACUGUGGUUUUCAAAACUGAACCAGCACGCGUCAUAACAAUUUUGGAAGUUCAGUGUGCUGACGAUUGGAUGUGAUUCAUUUUGGGACAUUGUAGUCAGCAAAAAGUGUUUCCAAGUUCCGGAUCAACUAGGAUAUCACUGUAUAACAUAAACUACCUACUCAAAUUAUGUUUUCUUCAGUUUAUACAUAUAUUUGGUCAUUACCAGUUUCAUAU